AUAUGGUAUCAUUGGGCAUUUUGUAUCAAGGUUUAAUCUUUCUACCUCCUGUUUAACCAAAUCCAGCUUGCCAUGGUUCCAAUCGCUCACUUUCCAGGUUCCUAUGAAAUACUGAUCUUUACAGUACCACCAGACACAUCCACAGCUAAGCUUCCUUUAAGCUUCCACCCAGCCCUUUCUUCAGUACUGAAGCUACUUGUAGUUGUCCUUUGUUCCUCCCCCAGCAUCAAUUUGGACACCUUUCAACCUGAGAACUCAUCUUCCGAUGUCAUCUAUUUUGUCAUUUUAUUGUUAUCCAUGGAGUUUUCUUGGGGAAAAUGUUGGAGUGAUUUGCCAUUUUCCUCUCCAGUGGAUCAUUCGUUGUUCAUCAGAACUCUCUCCUAUGAUCUGUCUAUCUUGGAGUAA
rnacentral:lncRNA from 1 species